rnacentral:rRNA from 1 species
GAUGAACGCUGGCGGCGUGCCUAAUACAUGCAAGUCGAGCGAACAGACGAGGAGCUUGCUCCUCUGACGUUAGCGGCGGACGGGUGAGUAACACGUGGAUAACCUACCUAUAAGACUGGGAUAACUUCGGGAAACCGGAGCUAAUACCGGAUAAUAUAUUGAACCGCAUGGUUCAAUAGUGAAAGACGGUUUUGCUGUCACUUAUAGAUGGAUCCGCGCCGCAUUAGCUAGUUGGUAAGGUAACGGCUUACCAAGGCAACGAUGCGUAGCCGACCUGAGAGGGUGAACGGCCACACUGGAACUGAGACACGGUCCAGACUCCUACGGGAGGCAGCAGUAGGGAAUCUUACGCAAUGGGCGAAAGCCUGACGGAGCAACGCCGCGUGAGUGAUGAAGGUCUUCGGAUCGUAAAACUCUGUUAUUAGGGAAGAACAAAUGUGUAAGUAACUAUGCACGUCUUGACGGUACCUAAUCAGAAAGCCACGGCUAACUACGUG